rnacentral:tRNA from 1 species
UCCAGCAUAUCUCAGUUGGUAGAGAACACGGCUGUUAACCGUGGUGUCCCUGGUUCGAGUCCAGGUGCUGGAGCCA